rnacentral:lncRNA from 1 species
CUGAAACCAAACAUGAUGGGUAAAGCAGUAAGUAAAAGCCAUAAGGAAACAGAAGGCAAGAGGCUGAGAGAAAUAGAGAGGAAGUUAUCCGGCAAGGCCAGAGGGAUAGAAUCACCACGAUGGGGCAGGGAAUAGGAGGCAAAGAUACACCUGCCUGUGGGAGGCGAGGGAUGAGAUAACCCAGUCUCCAGAGUUAUGACCUUCCAAUUACUGACAUUCCAAUGGCUCUGUACAGCAAUUACGAUACUCUUGUCUCCCUAAUUUGCAUCCUUAAAGUGAUCACCCAUUUUAGAAGUUAGGUAACCUGAGCAUGUCUGAGCAAGGCUUUAUAAAAUUAACAGCAGAACCUGGAAAAGUCUAUCCUGUACACCCCGUUGCUGCUAUCAUUUAGAAAAUCUGUUAUCUAACUCUAGGUUUAAAAACAGUAAGUGCCUGUCUAAGAAACAGAAACUUUAAGCUGGUCCGAAUGCAGUGGUAUUUACAACUAAUUGAUCACAACCGGUUACAGAUUUCUUUGUUCCUUCUCCACUCCCACUGCUUAACUUGACCAGCCUUAAAAAAAUAAAUUAAAAACAGGAGGCCAGGCACAGUGGUUCACGCCUAUAAUCCCAGCACUUUGCGAGGCCGAGGCUUGAGGACUGUUUGAGCCCAGCGGUUCAGGACCAGCCUGGGCAACACAAUGAGACCUCACAUAUACAGAAAAUAAAAAAUAGCCGGGCGUGGUGGUGCUUGCCGGUAGUUCUAGGCUUGGGAGGCUCAGGCUGAAAUUUGAGGUUACAGUGAGCUAUGAUAGCACCACUGCACUCCAGCCUGGGUGACAGAGUAAAACCCUGUCUCAAAAGAAAGAGGAAAAUUUUGAUGUUUGCAUAGGAAGACUCACUGAUUCCAUAUAGAACCACUAAUGCUAAUUACCAUAAGCAAAGAUUAAGUGCAGUCCGGGCAUGGUGGCUCACACCUAUCAUCACUUUGGGAGGCCGAGGUGGGAGGAUGGCUUGAGCCCAGGAGUUUGAGACCAGCCUGGGCAACAUAGUGAGACCCCAUUUCUAUUUUUAAAAAAAAAUACACACACACACACACACACACACACACACACACACGGGAAAAAAGAGUAAGUGCAGAGGAAAGCUUUCAAGCAACAGCAAAAUUCACCACUGCCUGUUUGCACCAUCUUCAAGUAGGUCCUAUUCAAUUGUCUGGUUACUGAAAGUCUCCUGACCCCUCUACACUCCCAUAUCAGGAUCCCAUAUCACUCCCUAAGCAGAAUCGUUGUAGAAUGUCCUUUGGCAAACAGCUCCAUUUAAAAUUAAACUAAAAGGUCUUAUUAUUCCAGUAAUGCAUUUUAAACUUACUAUUCUUGCUGCUUUAGAAGAGAAAACGUUAGCAAAAACUAGAUUGUCAACAGUAGAAAUUAAGGUACUAAAGGAAAACAGCUUGUAAAAGUUUUAUGGCAUACUCAUGAAUACCACCAAAUUCGCCCCUUCCUCGAACUAGGGUCAUUUUAAAGUAAAAACAAAAACCUAAGGCUUUGAGCCAAAAAUUAUGCCACUACAAACCACAGUUUUAAGACAAAGUUGCCAACCAUGCAGGUAUCGUUCAAUGCAGAAGUCACAAUGCAGAAGAUAACCUUUGUACUCAAAUUUUAUGAAUUCAUUAAGGUUUUCCCUUUUCCCCUCAUCGCCUUCACAUGGGAAGUGGGAUGUAAAAGUUAAAAUGCCUAACUAUGCAAUUCCUUCUGCAAUUUGUUGAACAGCUUCUAGAGAAAACCAAGAUAAUGUGGUAAAUAAACUUCACAGCAUCUUGUCCUCAUGCACUCAACACGUGCCCAAGACUUACUUGCUGAUGAUGAAAUGUGCUGUUGGUGCCAACAGUUUUAAGCCACUGGCAAGGAAAACAUUCUAAGAAACCCUGGGCCAGUUAUAAUCUGCCUUCCCUAUUAUCACGCCAAUUCUAUGCAAUCAUCAUAUGCAAAACUGGGCAUUCAUCAUCACUGCACGGAAUCCAAACGCGAUUCUCGGGGGUGCCCACGCUCGGCCUCCCACCCGGGUCCGACUCCUUGGAAGGGGCCUGGCCUAGCGCGCACCUGCACACGUGCGCCGGGAGGCGGGAGGUCGUCCCGCGGCCCAGCUGGUUUGUUUUCAACAAUACGGUCAAAGCCACACGCCCACCGUUAUUUACGCCGCCAGCCAGCGCCGGCACUUCGGAGGGAGGAAGGAAGCACCUAAGGCGCUGGGGGCGGAAACGCUGAGGAGGAGGGGUGCGCCUCAGGCGAGAGCUGGCCGGCGCCGACCCGGCCUGGGGCAGCGGCCGCAGCUCCCCGCCCGGGACCGCGCAAAAAGGCCCAAGGUCCCGGGCCGCACUCACCGAAGUCCAGGAACUGCUUCAUGGAGAGCGGGGACGGCGAGAAGCGCGCGUAGAAGUCCACCUGGCCCGGAACGCCGCGCUCGGACGCCGGGCUGGAGCCCGAGUCCGAGCUGAAGCUGCGGCUGAAGCCGGCGGCGCGCAGCCCCGGGCCCGGGCCGGCCAAGGCGGCUCCGCGAAGCAGCCGCGCCAGCCUCAUGCCGAGUCCCGCUAGAGAAGCCACAGCCAGUACGCCAGGUUUCCCCGCGCCUCUGCCGAGUGUCAUUCUCCAGCUGGGAUUGAGAACAAGGGGAAGCUGGCCAUAGAGCCAGGUGACCAAAGAUGGAAGACAAAGGGUGGGCUGUGAUUCCCAGAGCUCCAAGCCUUGUUCUGUCUUGUCACACCAACUGUUACUGAUGAACAGGUUUACAAUCUUUGAGGCCUGGCUGACUCAUGGAACAACUAGGACAAGAAACAAAGACAAAGAACACACACCUGACUGGACAGAGAUAAACCAAGAGCUGAGAGUUUUGGAAACAAGGCUGGAGCUGAGGAAAAGGACUGGGAACACGAACCUGUACAAACAACAAAUUCUUACAACAGAAAACAAGCCACUCCUGGCCAUCAAGAAACCCACAAAUCUCAGAAGCAAAAGCAAAACAAAUGAAAAUACAAACCAAAUAGUCUCUAUUACCUUCAUGCCUGUUGGGUCCCAAUAAAGGAAUCAUUCCAAUAAAGGAUUCA